rnacentral:rRNA from 1 species
UUCUGGCUCAGGAUGAACGCUGGCGGCGUGCCUAACACAUGCAAGUCGAGCGAUUACUUCGGUAAAGAGCGGCGGACGGGUGAGUAACGCGUGGGUAACCUGCCUCAUACACAUGGAUAACAUACCGAAAGGUAUGCUAAUACAGGAUAAUAUAAGAGAUUCACAUGGAUUUCUUAUCAAAGCUCCGGCGGUAUGAGAUGGACCCGCGUCUGAUUAGCUAGUUGGUAAGGUAAUGGCUUACCAAGGCGACGAUCAGUAGCCGACCCGAGAGGGUGAUCGGCCACAUUGGAACUGAGACACGGUCCAAACUCCUACGGGAGGCAGCAGUGGGGAAUAUUGCACAAUGGGCGAAAGCCUGAUUGCAGCAACGCCGCGUGAGUGAUGAAGGCCUUCGGGUCGUAAAACUCUGUCCUCAAGGAAGAUAAUGACGGUACUUGAGGAGGAAGCCCCGGCUAACUACGUGCCAGCCGCCGC